rnacentral:rRNA from 1 species
GGAGCAUDUGGCUUAAUUUGACUCACGCGGGGAAUCUUACUAGGUCCGGACCGAUUCUAUGAUCGUCGUACUGUGGGGUGCUACGUGAUUACUGGAUGAGUGGUGCAUGGCCGUUCUUAGUUCGUGGUGUUAAUUGUCUACUUAAUUGUCAUCAGUUUAAUACAUGUAUUGAACUAUGAACGAACGAGAUCGAGACCCGUGGUUGCGUGUGUUUGAAUUCGGUAUUACUACGGGGAUCGCGUAUUACUCCACGGUACGAUCGAAAGACUCGGCAAUAACAGGUCUGUGAUGCCCUCAGAUGUUCUGGGCUGCACACGUGCUACAGUGUGGUUCUGUUCAUAUGUGUAUGCGUAGACUUGAGAUCCCMCGCACCGAGUCAUAACUGGUCACACGGUGGACUCACCGAUUGACUUGUAUUCUAUAUCUUA